ACGAACGCUGGCGGCGUGCCUAAUACAUGCAAGUAGAACGCUGAAGGAGGAGCUUGCUCUUCUGGAUGAGUUGCGAACGGGUGAGUAACGCGUAGGUAACCUGCCUGGUAGCGGGGGAUAACUAUUGGAAACGAUAGCUAAUACCGCAUAACAGUAGAUGUUGCAUGACAUUUGCUUAAAAGGUGCAAUUGCACCACUACCAGAUGGACCUGCGUUGUAUUAGCUAGUUGGUGGGGUAACGGCUCACCAAGGCGACGAUACAUAGCCGACCUGAGAGGGUGUUCGGCCCACCUGGAAUUGGACCCGGCCCAAGACCCCUCCGGGAGGCAGCGUAGGGGAAUCUUCGCCAUAGGACGGAAUUCGGACCGGGAAACGCCGCGUGGGGAAGGAAGGUUUUCGGAUCGUAAGCUCUGUUGUAAGAGAAGAACGAGUGUGAGAGUGGAAAGUUCACACUGUGACGGUAUCUUACCAGAAAGGGACGGCUAACUACGUG
rnacentral:rRNA from 1 species